CAGUCGCCACGGUAAUACGUAGGUGGCAAGCGUUGUCCGGAAUUAUUGGGCGUAAAGCGCGCGCAGGUGGUUUAAUAAGUCUGAUGUGAAAGCCCACGGCUCAACCGUGGAGGGUCAUUGGAAACUGUUAAACUUGAGUGCAGGAGAGAAAGGUGGAAUUCCUAGUGUAGCGGUGAAAUGCGUAGAGAUUAGGAGGAACACCAGUGGCGAAGGCGGCUUUUUGGCCUGUAACUGACACUGAGGCGCGAAAGCGUGGGGAGCAAACAGGAUUAGAUACCCGCGUAGUCCCUGUCUCUUAUAC
rnacentral:rRNA from 1 species